UACGUAGGGUGCGAGCGUUGUCCGGAAUUAUUGGGCGUAAAGAGCUCGUAGGCGGUGUGUCGCGUCGGCCGUGAAAACCUGCAGCUUAACUGUGGGCUUGCGGUCGAUACGGGCAUCACUGGAGUUCGGCAGGGGAGACUGGAAUUCCUGGUGUAGCGGUGAAAUGCGCAGAUAUCAGGAGGAACACCGGUGGCGAAGGCGGGUCUCUGGGCAGUAACUGACGCUGGAGGAGCGAAAGCGUGGGAGCGAACAGG
rnacentral:rRNA from 1 species